rnacentral:rRNA from 1 species
GCGGCCUAUCAGCUUGUUGGUGAGGUAAUGGCUCACCAAGGCGACGACGGGUAUCCGGCCUGAGAGGGCGACCGGACACACUGGGACUGAGACACGGCCCAGACUCCUACGGGAGGCAGCAGUGGGGAAUAUUGGGCAAUGGACGAAAGUCUGACCCAGCGACGCCGCGUGAGGGAUGAAGGCCUUCGGGUUGUAAACCUCUUUCAGUAGGGAAGAAGCGAAAGUGACGGUACCUAAAGAAGAAGCACCGGCUAACUAUGUGCCAGCAGCCGCGGUAAUACAUAGGGUGCAAGCGUUGUCCGGAAUUAUUGGGCGUAAAGAGCUCGUAGGUGGUUUGUUGCGUCGGGUGUGAAAUUCAGGGGCUCAACCCCUGACCUGCACUCGAUACGGGCAAACUAGAGUUUGGUAGGGGAGACUGGAAUUCCU